CUCCAGGAAGUUGUACCCGUCAGCACCUGCUGAGGGCUUCGUUGAUCAAACUGACAGGAACCAACCACUUUUAAAAUGGAAGCUAAAAUAAAUGGAAAACCUUCUGAGAGUGAAGCAAACUGAACUUGCUGUUCUUGUCCUUACUGGAUUCAGGGGCACCCUUUGAGAUAAAAACAUGGACCUGAUUGGCAUCAUCCUGUAUCCAUGGAAACGUUGUAUUAGCUUGCCACCAGAGACUGAAAUUCACAACUUGGUCAAAACUUGGAUUUCUGUUUCAUAAAGAAUUGCAACAUAACAUUUGAUUUCAUCAGGUUUACCUUUCAUCAAAGAGCAUGGAAGAGGAAAGAAAUGACAGAAAUUGUUUGGAUUUAGGAACCCUCUGCAAUGGAAAACCAGCUAAUAUGCAACAAGAACUUGUCUUUCUCCUGAAGAAAUAUCUCCUCAUUAUUCAAUGCACAAAGUAGCCUGGGCUUUAACCAAAGUGGAACAGGCAUACAUGAAUAACACUUUCCGGUCAAAUCUGUUCAAAACUUUGGAUAUUGUUACACCUAUUUAGAGAAAACAUUCUGGAAACUUUCCUGUAAAAUGCACUAAGUCUCUGGUUUCCUGAGUUUACUUUGUGCAACAGAAGCUAAACUUGCUAUACCCAGAGGCUGCAUAGACCAAUUCUGUCUACAGGAAAAUACAACACUGCUCUCCAUUUGGAAGAAGUGCUUGGAUGUCUUUUGCAAGAACAAACUCCUGGAUGCAAUUUCUUCGAUGGCAAGAGUGUCAUGAGCAUUGUGGCUCUGGUUCAAGCCAACUACAGCCUGGAAAAUGAAAUACAAUCUAAAAAUAUCAUAAAAAUGGAAAAUUUCAACAUUAAUCUCAUGUAAAUCUUUUACAUUCUGUAGUCAAACUCUGUGAACCUGAAAGAGAAUCCAACUGUAAACCAAGACUCUUUGCUGUUACUUGCAGUUCGUCACAUCAGACCAGGCUGUACCCUUGGGUCCUAGUCAUGAAAGAGUCUUUGUGAGGAGACCUUGCCCCAUCCAAGGACUUAUCAAAAAAUCUGCAGAACCUUUCAUGACAGGGUGGCUCUACACUGAAGGAAAGGACUGAGGGUAAGCAGCACAAAGGAGGCUGAGAGGAAGAAUGGCUCAACAGCUUAAGGCAACGUUUUAAAUUCAAGCAAUCUGGGUUGUAGUUCUUCUCCUACUACCAGUUUCUGGUGAAGCCCUGGGCACUUCCCUUACUCUGGAUUUUGGACUGUUGGCUGUGAAAUGGGGAGACCAGCUCUCAGCAGAACUGUUGCAAGGAUAAUUACAAAGAAAGGAAGGAAGGAGCUGUGGGUUACAGCUGUCCUAGGACAGAUAACAGGGUUACUGGGGAGUGCAGAUAUGAUCACCUCGCAGUCCUAUGCAGAUCUGUCAGCAAAAACAGCCGCCUCCUGGAUAUGCUUCUUCGGGACCUCCAGCAGCUUCUGAGGAAGGAAGGCCAAGCAGGGCAUGCUUUACUGUUAGGUGUUUGGGACCUAUGUGCCAGUGUCAUGGAUGUGAAGUGGAAGAGCUAAAGGGACUUCUUCCCCCCAUCCCCCUCUUUCAAUUAUGCAAAAUUCUUUAAGAUACACAGGUUGUACAUCAGGGCUGAAUAAGAGCAUACAAAGUUUGCAAAUAUGCAUUAACAAAUUAUCCUGCUGCCAAAGUCAUCUGUAUUUGUAACACAUCUAAUGCUCUUAAGCAGUGCUGUAGGUGAACCUGGAAGGCAGAUGUAGUAUUUUAAUGCUAAUAUGCUAUAAAAUAUCUUAGCAAAAUAAGCAAGUCCCUCUGCAGUGGGUGUUUAUUUUCCUUGAUAUGAUUUAGAAGAUUCUCAUGUGACAAUAUCUUUUGUGUUGUAUUUGUAAAAUGAUCUCUAUGAGAAUAGCACACUAUUACAAUACAUUACAAUAUAAAGUUGCUUGAGCAGCAGAAAGCUCCUAAUACAGUGCUUCACAAUGGAGCACUUAAACAGUUUAAUACAGCUUUCGUGUACAGUAUUUUGAAGAAUCACUACAAGCCAUGUUUGCAGCACUUUUGGGAAAGCAAGAUAAUAUUGAGGAGAACCUCCUUAGCAGAGAGCUUCCUGUCACCAGAACGAUCAUGUUGCUGUUCCAGCAAAUCCAGGUGGGAACAUUUUCAAGGAAAUGUCGAAUACUUCUCCUUUUGCCCAGAAACAGCAUAGCUAUUUUUAGGGAUAUUUUCCAUUGGCCUGCAGCACACUUCAGUUGCUGUAACAUAAUGGAGAGUGGCAUAUUGUAUGUUACGUUGAAUUGAGAAAAUGACUAUGUUGCAUCAUGUCUGUAUUUGGCACUGAAGGAUGCUGAGAUAUUCAUAUUUCUUCAUACUUGUGCCAAUUUGUAUGCAACACAGAUUUAUCAUAAAUAGAAUGUAGGAUCUGGGAUCUAUCCUGUGCUCAUUUACCCCUCUAUCAAUCACGUGUAACACCUUGAUAGCAUGCAACUUUUUCAAGGGAGCCUGGAAUCAGUCCCAGUGUAUUCUGGCCAUAUUCUGUUUACGGUGCUUAAAAAGAAGACACUGUUGUAGGAAGAGCUGGUGUUGUAAUGUAUACUUUUGGGGCUCUACUUAUAUAGACUCGUGAGGCUCAAAAAUAUAAAUAUCCAAAAAUUAUCCCUUCUUUUUAGAGCAUUUUCUAAUUAAUGGGACAUAUGUUAAGACCCUGCAUGGGAACCCGCUUGACAGAAUGCAAAAGCUCACACAGGUGCCCCAAAUAAUCAGGUGCAGAUUCCCAGGGAAAAGGCUCUCAACUAGGCAGUUAAGGCUCUGUGCUCACCAAGCAGCUCUGGCCCCACAGUAAGCUACAGUGGUGUGGGGACUUCUGCACCAGUUCCCCUUCAUCCCCACGGUCCCCACAGCUCCCCCUCUGCAGGGGUAUGCGUCUGGCAGAGGCUCCAGCUCCACGGGAGAGCAGACUGACAGCUGCACCCGGUCACUGGACCAAGAUGGGGCCAGGUAAACUGCUUCACAGUUGCUCCGUGGUGGUUUUCUCCUCCAAUACUGUAUCACAUUUAGUAAGAAAAAUAAAAAAUAAGCCUUGGGCACUCUGUUUUAAUCUAAAUAACUGAUAUUGCUGCAACUAAGGUAAUAUUAAAUCAAAUGUGAUUAUGGACAAUUACACAAUUGUCUUUGGAGACAGAGAAGCUGCAGGUGUUUCCAUGCCUGCUUUGUGAGUGAGAAGACUCCUCACUCAGUAAGGUACCUCAGCCAGUUUGAGGUGAGUCACCAGGCUGCGUUUGCAUGGCAAGUUAGCGUAGGCGCUGCAUUACUGAUCAACCCUGAAGACUCUCAUUGGCCAAGUAAUGGGGACAUCAGGAGCUAAUAUUGUAACCGCCUGUCAUUAGAAACAGAAGAUUUUAGUUUUUAAGACUAUCAUGAUUUCAACCUUUAGAUACAUGUCGCUCUCCAUCCCUUCAGAAAAUGGCAUAUCUUUUAUGUGCAAUCUCAGCAAUAACUAAGAAAAGAUUUUCAGAUUAAAAUUAGAAAGAUCAGCUAUACUCUGAUUGGCAAGCUGAACUGCACAUUAAAGUCACUUUUGAUUUAGUCGUUUCAAGAGAUCCAUCGCUACUGUUUUCUUUAGUCCUUGACAGUGGGCUAAAGAUGUACUUGUUCUUCACAUCUUAUUUAUGUAGAAUAGCAAAUAAAAAUAUUUCCUAACAUUCUUUUCUAAAGUAUCCUUUAAACAAACAGUUGGAGAAAAUGAGCUGAAUGAAUUAAUUUAGGCAGUCCAAUCUGCUGCAUUAGACAAGAUUUUAAAAAGACUCUAAGAGCAUCUGUGUUGGGAGAAAAUAGGGCAGAGGCUCCUUGUCCACAGCAAACUACUUAUUAGAAAGCGGGGACUCCAUCAACAUCAGGGAAACCUUUGCCACCAACUUCAGCCAGGUUAGGAUUUCAGCCAGUACGAAAUAUCAGUAUACUGAUAUUUAACCCUAUAUUCUCAGCUGGUUUCAGCUUUUUAGAAGAACACAUUUAUCUUGUGGACUCAAGCAAUGACUGGGAUUGAAGGUCCUCACAUAGUUCCUAUUGCUGUGUGGCAUGUAAUCUGAUGUUGUACUUACUUACCUUUUUUUAAAAAAAGAAAAUAUAUGAGCUGCAGUUUUCUUUUUAUUUCCUAUCUGUUCAAGUACAGGCUGUAACAUGCAGAAGUAUCACUGCUCGUAACUAUCACACUUAAUUAUGCUUCAUGUGCUGAAUUUGGGAUCUGAAUGUCACUCAAGUGAUUCUUGCACACUUUAUGAUGGAUAUUUAAUCCAAAAACCUGAAGAAAACAGAUCAUUUAAUUUUCUAAUCAGUUUACCAGAUACAGGUUGUGAGGCAUGGAAAUAUUUUGAGCAUUUUCUAUGUUUUUUAAUGAAGUGUUACUACAAUAAGAGGCGGAUGUUACAGCCCAGCUGCUGCAGUGCGCAGCAGUGGCUUUUGUGCUCUGUGCACAACUUUAUGUGUCAGCUUGUGGCAAAACUCCAGGCCUCCAGCCAAGGACGUCUGACAGCGAACUGCUUCUAGAGACAUAGGAUUUUUUUUUUUUUCCAGUGCAUAAACACCUCAAAAAUUUUAGAGUGACUUAUUUCUAGAUGGGGAAGAACGAGAAGAGAACACUUUUCUGUUCUUUCUUUGCAAGGGUGCAAGCCAUGUGUUUUUUCUCUAGGAACUCUGUGAGCAAAGGGGACUCGCCAGGAUCUGUUCGCAGCGUGGUACAUUUGCUCCUCCACCAUUCUGUCCAUACUGCUGUUUUCUCCUCCCUUAAACUUCAUCUUUUAAACUGAUGAUAUUCUGCAGAGAUGCAAGAUUUAUGUCUUCCCUAAAAGACGUGGAACAAGUUUUUCCUCUCAGUGCAGAGCAUCUAAGAUAAUGAGGAACACACUAGCAGCAUUAAAACAAAGGCGCAUCAGAUCCUCAGGGGAAUCGGAUGCCAGGCGUGCAGUAUUUCCUCCAACCAUCUGAAAACCAGCAUCAUUGUUCUUUCAGGAUGUUUCUGAAGCAAAGGAAACAAUAGGACGUGCCCAUAAAUCCUUCCCAUUAGGGUAAAGAAGCGUACAAAGCAGUAAGAUUCAAACUUUAUGUUUGGCCAGUCCAUGGCAUGAGUAGAUGUAACUGACUUGCCAGGGCCUCCACUUGCUGGGUAUUCUUAGUAAGCAGGCCAACACGUGAAUAUUUUUCUCUCUGAA